UACAGAGGUCUCAAGCGUUGUUCGGAUUCAUUGGGCGUAAAGGGUGCGUAGGUGGCGCCGUAAGUCGGGUGUGAAAUCUCGGGGCUUAACUCCGAAACUGCAUUCGAUACUACCGUGCUUGAGGACUGGAGAGGAGACUGGAAUUUACGGUGUAGCGGUGAAAUGCGUAGAGAUCGGAAGGAACACCCGUAGCGAAGGCGGCGCUCUGGGCCGGUACUGACGCUGAGGAGCGAAAGCGUGGGGAGCAAACAGG
rnacentral:rRNA from 1 species